UGCUGGCUGUUUAAAUGCUGUUUGCUACAUGCAGGUGUGGCUGGAUGAAGAUGUUGAGCUCUAUGAUUUCGCAAAAGUCCGACCACUCAUCAAAAAGAAGCAAGUGAAGGUACCAGCUGGUCUGGCAGGAUACAAGCCAGGAGCAUUCAGCAAGUUCCUGUCCCUGUACCUGCACGGGGCUGUGUAGGACCAGGCAGGCCUGUAGGUGUGUGUGUGUGUUUGUAUGGACACACUCUUAGCAGUGAGUCAUAUGUCAAGUGUGUGUGUUUGUUUGUGUUGCCACAAAAAUCCUCCUUUCUCUUUCAAACAUUCAAUAAUCUGGUUCACAACAUUGUCUUUUUUUCACACUGACUCCAUCCCUCUGUGAGAGCUCAAUCAAUAAAACACUCUGAAUAUGUA